rnacentral:rRNA from 1 species
CCUACGGGAGGCAGCAGUGGGGAAUUUUGGACAAUGGGCGCAAGUCUGAUCCAGCUAUUCCGCGUGUGGGAAGACGGCCUUCGGGUUGUAAACCACUUUUGUAGAAAAAGAAAAGUCUCUUGAUAAUACCGAUAGCUGAUGACGGUACUCUACGAAUAAGCAACGGCUAACUACGUGCCAGCAGCCGCGGUAAUACGUAGGGUGCGAGCGUUAAUCGGAAUUAUUGGGCGUAAAGGGUGUGCAGGCGGUUUUGUAAGAUGGAUGUGAAAGCCCCGGGCUUAACCUGGGAGGGCCAUACAUGACUGGAAGACUAGAGUGCGUCAGAGGGGAGUGGAAUUCCAAGUGUAGCAGUGAAAUGCGUAGAUAUUUGGAAGAACACCGAUGGCGAAGGCAGCUCCCUGGUACGCAACUGACGCUCAGACACGAAAGCGUGGGGAGCAAACAGGAUUAGAUACCCCGGUAGUC